UACGUAGGUGGCAAGCGUUGUCCGGAUUUACUGGGCGUAAAGGGCGUGCAGGCGGUUUGUUAAGUGCAGGGUGAAAGCUCCCGGCUCAACUGAGAGAGGUCCUUGCAUACUGGCGAACUCGAGGGAGGCAGAGGAAAGUGGAAUUCCCGGUGUAGUGGUGAUAUGCGUAGAUAUCGGGAGGAACACCUGUGGCGAAGGCGGCUUUCUGGGCCUUACCUGACGCUGAGACGCGAAAGCGUGGGGAGCGAACCGG
rnacentral:rRNA from 1 species